AUCGGGUGUGAGGGAGCAAAGGCAGGUGGGGAGGGGGAAGCCAGUGUGUCUUUGUAGAGGGUGGGGGCAAGCGGGCUCGUGUCUGUGGGAGAAAGUAUGUGUGGUGGGGGAAUGGGUGUGCAGGGCGGUCAAGGGGGGUGUGAGGAGACCUUCUGUGUGAAAGCACGAGGAGGGGUGAUUUGUAUGUGUGUGGAAGGAGGAUGAGUAAAAAUGAAGAAUAAGUGGGGGGAUGUGUUUAUCUGAAGGGCGUUGGGGAGCAGCCGGUAUGGAGAGGGACAGUCGGGGUGGAGGGUGGGUUAUCGUGCACAGUGUGGGAUGUAGGGGUGCGUGUGUGUCUGACUACGGAGGUGACAGCGUGGGAAGUGAAAGUGGGUAUGGGGAGGGUAGGCUCCUUGUGGGUGACAAUUCGGGUAGGAAUGCUACUAAGGAGGCAUGGGUGGUCGUCUGCCCCCUGGGACUUGUCCUGGCCUCCGGGAUCAACAACCUAGACCGGCUUCACCGUGAAAUUCUUAUGGGACCAAAACAGAAGAGGGACAAUGAAAAACUGGGUGGCUGGUGACAUUCCUUUUAUCCUUUUGGGUGUUUUUUUUUUUUUUUUUUUUUUGACUUGACACUCAAGAAUCCCCACCCCGAUGCUGACUGAUGGGACCGUUGCUAGGUGGCGCCCCAGAGCUUGCUCCCACCCAGCAGGUCCCGCCUUUGCCCAGGGUCUGAACUGGUUUUUCCACUCUGCUCCUCAGAGAGCCCCUGCCUAUUGCCUGAGCAAUUAUAUUCCCUUCAGUCCAUUCCAUCCGACCAAGGGCAGAAGGACAUAAUCCCCCUGCAGCACAAGAAGGACAUCGGAGGCUUAAAAGGAGGCAUCAGUUAGCACCGAGGGAGAGGACACCUGCCUUCCUCGCACCCACCAGUCCUGCCUUUCAGAAGAAUGGUGCCCAGAGCCGCCGGGGUGGCUCAGUCAGUUAAGCCUCUGACUCUUCAUUUUGGCUCAGGUCAUGAUCUCACAGUUCAUGUGUCGGGAAAAUAAAUCAAGUUUUCCACCAUAAGAUGGUCGAUGGGACGAAAACAAGCUCUGGUCUCUAGCUUGGAGUCCCCUCUUCCGGAUUCUUCUCGCCCUGUUUGCCGUCUGUGUGAAAACCACCCCCCCCGCAACGAAUAUGGAGGCUGACAAUGAUAAAUUACCCUUCCCGCUUGCAUUCGGCGCUCAGAUCUUUGGAGACACGGUCUCCUCGGAGCCCGCCGGUGUUAAAGAAAUCUCCGAUCCACCAAGACCUCCAAGUGCCGCUUGGUUUUUCUGCCAGCAUUCCAGCUUGGUUCCGGAACAAUGAGUUUAAGCCCCGAAUCAGGAUCUGCCCUGACUGGGAUUCUGUCUCCCUCCCUCUCUCUGACCUUCCUCUGUUUGCUCUCUCUCUCUAUUUCUCAAAAAUAAAUAAAUAAAUAUUUUACGGAAGGAGGAGGAGGAGGAGAGGAAGGGGAAGGGGAAGGAGAAGGAUGGUACCUGGCAUCCCAGAGACUAGAAUUCUGAUAAUUCCCUUCUUCCCUGUCUCAGUCUGAUGGAGCACAGACUGGCUGGCUUAUACACAAUUUUUUCCCCCACAGUUCUGGAGUCUCGGAAGUCCAAGAUUAAGGCUUGGGCAGGUGUCUGGGGAGGGCCUGCCACCUGGCUCAUUGACAGCUGUCUUCUCACUGUGCCCUCACACUGUAGAAGGGUCGGGGGAAGUCGAGGCUUUUUUAAUAAGGGCACCGGUCCCAUUCGUGGCCUGUCUUCUCAAAGGCCCCACCUCCCAAUACCGUCACACUGGGGGUUGGGAUUUCAGCAUGUCAAUUUGGGGGGGGACACAAACAUUGAGUCUGUGGCACUCCCCUCCCAGCUGUCAUCUGUGCUUUUCUCGCACAGACUCGUAAGGUCUUUCCUGCGACUUCACUGUCACCUCUCAGCCCAGGCCUGGUGCCCUCCAGCAGAGGGCAGUGCGUGACGGUGACACUUUCCCCUCAUUGUGACAGUGACAGCAACAGGUUCGAACCCUUGGCUCUCCUAGAGGAGAAGUAAAUGCCACCAAAGUGUGGUCAGAACAGAGCCAAACUCUAGGGAAGACGUGAAGCAAGGACUCAGGACAAUCUUGAUCCUGACGGACAUUCAGCUGGAGAAAGGGUGGGCCCAGGGGAAAGAGUGGUGGGAACCAGGCCCCGAAGACCAUGGGGGUGAAGAGGAGAAUGGGUCUUGGGGGAGGGAGGCAGGUGGCUUUGGCCACUCUCAGUAAAAACCAGAAAGGUCCAACUCCAGGGACCCAGGAAACCCAAUUGACAAUAAGAACAGGACUUGAGCAACAGCUUGGGACGUGCACAGAGAGAAGCACAUAGGUGUUCAGGGCACAGGAAGCAUAAGGCCAUGUUGGGCAGUAAGGACUCCCCUGAGUGAUCUCUGUAGAUGUUGGAGAGAAGGUCCUCCCGCCUUCCAAGUCAAGAUGCUUUGUAAACUUGAUGCAGAUGUGAUGAGGUUUUGGGGGGAUGGGAGUGGAGCGUAGAGCCCAUGGCCAAGAAAGAAUUCUCAGAGACCAUCUUGGGUGCACAAAGGUGAUUUUACUAAAGCAUGGGGGACAGGACCCGAGGGCAGGAAGAGCUGCACUGGGGUUGUGAAGUGACUCUCUCUCUCCUUCUCUCUCCCCUUCAUGGGAUUCUCUCUCUCUGCCCCUCGCUCACUUGUGCUCACUUGCUCCCUCAAUCUCUCUCCUUCUCAGAAAAAGAAAAAAAAAAAAAAAAAAGUAAGGGCCUCCUAUAGCAGAGUAACCUUGACCUGGGCAGGCUCACCUCUAAGUCCUGAUGAAGCCUUACCGUCUUGGGGCAGUGGGAAAGGGCUGGCACCUCUAACGAGGUUCAGGCUUAUUUCUAUUUUAAAGCUGGACUCUGAGGUGAAAUGUGAACAUGCUUGGCAAGUUAUGGUUUAAGUCAGACUAGGUUGCUGCCUUAAGGCUCACCUAGUGAGUACUGGGGUGGCAGCAGGAACCCAGGGAAUGGACAUACCUAGAUAUGGGCAGGGGCAGCAUCAUGGUGGGUCCAGAUGAUCGCUUUUCACAGGGUAGGGGAGGCCAUGCACAGAGCUGCAGGCACAGGGGUCUGGUGGAAGGCGCCUGAGGACGCACCUGCCUCAGCCAAGCAGGCUGGGGUUUAGGCUGCAGUCCCCGCAGCAAAGGGGAUUGGUGAGCAGGGAGGAAGGCAGAAGACCAGUUUUAGAAACCACAUCUCAACAGUGAGGAUUUAAAGGGGGGCUGGGAGUCCAUGGACACUUGGGGUUGAACUCAGCCAGCUUCUUUCUGGCCGCCUGAACCUGCUGUUCAAGGGCUACAUGUCUGGACAGGGAUGGGACAGGGUUCAACUGGUGAAUGUCAGUGUCCAAGCUGAGCUGAGGGGAGGUGGGAGGUAGGUGAGGCCCAGGGAGGGGAGUGUGAGUGAUAAGGAGUAAAAAAUGGUGGAGCCGGCCACAAUGGUGGCAGCCAACCAUGUCUCAUAGUCUUCCUGGCAGAGGAAGGGUCAAUGGAGGGUUCACACUCAUCGUGGAGCCCUACAUAGGGCUUGAUCCCAUAACCCUGAGAUCAUGACCUGAGCUGAAAUCAAAAGUCUGAUGCUCAUUUGAUGGAGCCACCCAAGAACCCCUCAUAAUCCAUAUUUUAAAUCAAUUUCUUAGAUAAAGACAGAAGACACGAUUGUCCUCUAAGGUGCUACAAAGCCAAAAGGGAUACAAAGUAUGUUAGAUGAGCCACCUGGGUGGCUCAGGAGGUUAAGCAUCUGACUCUUGAUUUUGGCUCAGGUCAUGAUCAAGAGUUCGAGCCCCUCAUUGGGUUCCACGCUGGCAGUACAGAACCUUCUUGGGAUUCCCUUUCUUCCCCUCACCCAUGUGCAUGCUCUCGCUCUCGCUCUCUCAAAAUGAAUAAACUUUUUUUAAAAAGGUAUAUUGGAUGACAGAAUCGAACUCUAAAACUUCAUGAUACGAUGGACCAAUGGACUAAAAGAAAAUAGUGCUGGCCAACAGUUAUAGAGUCUAUACCAUGCUUUUGCCAUUGUUUCAGGUGCUUCAAAUGCUUUGCUUCCCUUAACCCUCACAAGCAUGGGAAGUAAGGUAAUUAAUCAUUUCUAUAUGGUGGAUGCACGUUCUGGGGUGAGGGCUCAGAAGACCCUUCUGCACACCUCCAGAUCUCUUACCCUGUAGCUCUCUCCUCUCUGGUACUCCGCCCCGUGGAUUCUAGCCACCUGGCCCCUUUAAAUUCUCAAUGCCACUUUCUCUGCUCAGAGAGAUUUCCAGGCUCCCUUUGGGUUCCCCUCCCAGCCCUGCAGUCUGGAAUCCCUCUCCGGGCAGGAAGCCAAGGCAGUCAGAAGGAUCACUUCCUUAGUGUCCCUUGUCCUGGGUCCUGCACUGCCUGUUAUCCGCUGUCCAAAGCACAUUGUUUCUUUUUUUUUAUUUAUUUUUUUGUAUUUUUCAUCUAAGUUGAGGGAUAAAUCAUAUUCCUUUAUUACAGCUGUCGCAGAAUCAGAGCCUGUUUUUUUAAAAUGAAAAAUGCUUUAUGACUCAUUAUAAAAUCUUUUUAAUUAUAAAAAUUUCAACCGAUACAAAGUCUUAUAAAGUAAAAAAGUGAGUAUUCCCCUCCGCUAUUCUCAUCUCACACCACAGAAACCACCAGUGUUAACAGUAAACACAUUAAGUCAUUUCCACUUUUCUCCAAAGGACCCUCUUGUGAAGUUAGAGUGUUAGGGAACCAGGCUGCAUCACUGACAGAAGAACCAAGCGGCACUCGGGGAUCUUGGAGGAUCAGAGGUUUAUUUACAUCGUUGGACUCCAGGGAGACGGUCUCUCCAAAGAUCUGAGUCCUGAGCAUAAACAUAGGGGACAAUUUGCAGUCUGUUUCUUCCACAUUAGUUGGCAAUUUGGCACACGUGGUAAGCGAGGCAGGAAGAAGAACCCAGAAGGAGAGUCUUCGGGCGAGGACUGGAGAUGCCCCCUCUGUCGGCCAUCCUAUAACAUCAUUUUUCCCUAUCAAGGUCAGGGUUUGGUUUUUUUCCCCAUCAGUAGAGGGGGGAGUCUUUGGCAGUGCUGGGAGGAUUGGAAAUGAAUGUUCCUGAGAAACUCUGUCCCUGCCACUUCUCCCUCAUUAUCUCUCCCAUGGAACAUGUGGGCUGGAUGUCAUUCUAUAUUGACUUCCCUUUCACUGUCCCAAAGGCAGGAGUAAGAGUCACGUGUCCAUCUUAAAAUCUCUGUGACGGCCACAUAAAAUCAUGUACAUGAAAGUGUUUGGCAAACUUUGAAAUCAUUACAAUUGGUAGUUACUAUUAUAUUAUCAUACGUGUUUAUGUUUCAUAUUAAUAAUAAUAAUUGUUAUUAUAGAAGAUUUGAUGAUACCUUUAGGGUCCAUUUUUUAUCACAAGUGAAAGGUUCUCUUUACCAUAAGCCUACUCACACUCUCUGAGGUCUAAGGCAAAAGGAAUCCUUAUGUUGUCAAAUGUAUCUUUAAGUGGCUUCUGUUGCGUGGGGUCAAGAUCCCAUAUGCGGGAGGACCUGCAGCCCAAAGUGAGCCACUCCCUUUAGGGCUCAGAAGCCAGUUUUUCAACUUCAAAGUCACGCACAAACACACCCUUAAAAACUUUAUGAUUUAUAAAAACUUUAUAAUUGCUCUUGUUCAUGGGAUGGCAAAAAAUUAGGCUGAUACUUCUUUUCUUUUCCAUUAUUAUCUUCUAAUUGUAGCUCCGACUCUGCUCUGGAUCUGAAAGCAACGGGUUCCUUAGGGUCAGCUCUGGAAAUAAAAAACAAAACAAAAUAGCAGA